AGCAGAGCAGCUCAGCUGAGCCUGAGUCAGCCCAAGUGCAGUCGCCUGCAGAGUGGGAGCAAGCCCUCGCUCGUUCUCGGAACCCACCCACUGAAGGCCAGGAGGGUUUCAGCACAGCACGUUCGUGCAUUAGCUGAUGCUAUGGUCUGAGCGCUUGUGUCCCCAGAAUUCACAGGUUAAUGUCCUCACCCCUGAGUGAUGGCAUUAGGAGGGGGUGCUUGUGGAUGGAGAUGAGGCCUUGAGGGUGGAUGGGUUUGGCACUUGCAUAAGAGGCCCCAGGGCCCUUUCUUACUGUCUUUCCACCACAUGAAGGCAUGCCGAGAAGACAGGAGAGAGAGCUCUCCCCGAGCUGGCACCCUGAUGUCAGACUGCGCCUCUGGGAUGGUGAGAAAUAGGGCAUCGGAGCAGCCUGAACCAAGACACUGCCCGAGGACAGAGGGUCACCGCCCUGUACCCCAUUCCUGCAGGGGCACACGAGCUAGCUCAUCAUUUACGGAGUUCUGGUCAAGGAAAUGAAUGGGCUAUGAAAUGAAACUAGCUCCGUGAAUGGGUCUUUCCGGAUGUGAUACUGACUUUGAAUCGCAAAUUGAGCUUGCCAGAAAUACUGGCUGCAUCUCAAAAGAAUGCCUCCAUCGAGCUUUCCCAGUGGCAGAGGCAGCAAGGAAAUGGAUGCAAAGCUGUCCCCGCAGCUCUGACGAUGUUUCUAGUCCUGCUCUCGAGGGCUGACUCUCAGGUCUAGACUGGAAGGCGACCAGUGGAAGCACACUGCCGCCGUUUCGUAGGGUUAUAAAGCCGGAACUGUACGGAUGCCUGAAUUGGUCAGUAUCGACAGAGCGUCGAAAAGGGCACAUUCCAGCAGAGCGUCAUAGGACGCGAGGAAAUCACCUUAGCUUUUCUUAUUCUGUGUGCAGAAAAAUUCCCGGCUUGUCCACAAGACGGCAGACCGGUCAGACGGCGUGUCCUCCACAGGCUCCUUAAUGCACAUGGGCUUUAGAAUGGAUUUCUUCAUCCUAACUGAGGAACGAGAACUUGGAGCAGCCAACCUCACCCUUUUGCUGAUGUCAGCCUAGCCCAGGCUUUUUGAAGUCUGUCCUUCUGUGAUCUCUUUGUUCUCAGCAUCUCGCACCGUGCCUGGUACAGAGAAAGGCUAGAACGUGUUGACUGACGCGUCAACCUUGCUGAGCAUCUAGGUUAUUGCAGUGCAUGGGUGCGUGUUCACGGCCCUGUCCAGUGUGUCGCCUGGGAGCCUCAAGGCUCUGCAAGGACCUAGACCCAGGAAGAACCUCACGAAUGGGGCAGGCAGAAACCUGGGAUGGGGGCAAGCAACCAAGAGCCACAAACACCAGAAGUCUGAAGUCUGAGUGUAGAUAAGUUGUGCUGACUCCUAUUUGUGAUGAUUCGUUUUCGAAUGCUUCAUGACGUGUGAAUGUGGUACAUCCACGAAUCCUAACCUGUACAGACACCUAGGAUGACUUCGCCAGCCCUGUAAGGAGGGGGACACUGCAACGUUUGUGCCUUGUAAGGUGCACAGUCUUCAGGCCCUAGAGUCUGAGGGGUCAGCAAACUAUGUUCCAUGGGCCAACUCUGGCUUUCUAGGAACACAGUGUAACUGGAACACGCAGUCUCCACUUGAGAACAGUGUUGAGCGUCAUUUGCACUAUAAAGACAAAGUCAAAUCCUUGCAGGAUUCGAGGCCGUGUGGUUGUCAAGGUCUGAAAUAUUUUGUCUGGUGCCUUCCAUCGGGAAGAACGAAACAGCUGUUGCUAUCUCUUCUAUUUCAUGAUACUUGAAGGAUAGUUUGGUAAGGGAUCCUUUCUUUACCUCGUUAUUUUCUUCCUUUUCACUUUAGAAGAUUCUCACUGUUCUUUUGUGUUAUGAUUAAGAUGUUUAAUGCCACCCCAAUUUUUUCUUUAGUUUUGUAAGUGGAUUUCUAUUUGCUGGGAAAUUAUUCUUCUUCUAUGGAAAACCAAUGGUUUUAACAGAACGUGUUUGGGGAUUGAUGAGUAUCAGCCAAUUUUCUCAUCUACACAGACUCAGGUCAUCCUUUUUCCCCAUAAGAUUAUUAAAUUAACAAUUUAUGUAUA